rnacentral:tRNA from 1 species
GCCUCCGUAGCCCAAAGGUAGAGGCGAACUCCUUAAAAGAGUCGAAGUGUCGGUUCGAGUCCGACCGGAGGCACCA